rnacentral:rRNA from 1 species
UUAGCUAAGCAGUUUAUUGAGCGAUUGAACUUUGAAUUGAAGAGUUUGAUCAUGGCUCAGAUUGAACGCUGGCGGCAGGCUUAACACAUGCAAGUCGAACGGUAGCAGGAAGAAAGCUUGCUUUCUUUGCUGACGAGUGGCGGACGGGUGAGUAAUGCUUGGGAAUCUGGCUUAUGGAGGGGGAUAACUGUGGGAAACUGCAGCUAAUACCGCGUAUUCUCUGAGGAGAAAAAGGUGGGCCCUUAGGGCCACCUGCCAUAAGAUGAGCCCAAGUGGGAUUAGGUAGUUGGUGGGGUAAAGGCCUACCAAGCCUGCGAUCUCUAGCUGGUCUGAGAGGAUGACCAGCCACACUGGAACUGAGACACGGUCCAGACUCCUACGGGAGGCAGCAGUGGGGAAUAUUGCGCAAUGGGGGGAACCCUGACGCAGCCAUGCCGCGUGAAUGAAGAAGGCCUUCGGGUUGUAAAGUUCUUUCGGUAAUGAGGAAGGGAUGUUGUUAAAUAGAUAGCAUCAUUGACGUUAAUUACAGAAGAAGCACCGGCUAACUCCGUGCCAGCAGCCGCGGUAAUACGGAGGGUGCGAGCGUUAAUCGGAAUAACUGGGCGUAAAGGGCACGCAGGCGGACUUUUAAGUGAGAUGUGAAAUCCCCGAGCUUAACUUGGGAACUGCAUUUCAGACUGGGAGUCUAGAGUACUUUAGGGAGGGGUAGAAUUCCACGUGUAGCGGUGAAAUGCGUAGAGAUGUGGAGGAAUACCGAAGGCGAAGGCAGCCCCUUGGGAAUGUACUGACGCUCAUGUGCGAAAGCGUGGGGAGCAAACAGGAUUAGAUACCCUGGUAGUCCACGCUGUAAACGCUGUCGAUUUGGGGAUUGGGCUAUAUGCCUGGUGCCCGAAGCUAACGUGAUAAAUCGACCGCCUGGGGAGUACGGCCGCAAGGUUAAAACUCAAAUGAAUUGACGGGGGCCCGCACAAGCGGUGGAGCAUGUGGUUUAAUUCGAUGCAACGCGAAGAACCUUACCUACUCUUGACAUCCUAAGAAGAGCUCAGAGAUGAGCUUGUGCCUUCGGGAACUUAGAGACAGGUGCUGCAUGGCUGUCGUCAGCUCGUGUUGUGAAAUGUUGGGUUAAGUCCCGCAACGAGCGCAACCCUUA